rnacentral:rRNA from 1 species
GGUUAAGCGACUAAGCGUACACGGUGGAUGCCCUGGCAGUCAGAGGCGAUGAAGGACGUGCUAAUCUGCGAUAAGCGUCGGUGAGGUGAUAUGAACCGUUAUAACCGGCGAUUUCCGAAUGGGGAAACCCAGUGUGUUUCGACACACUAUCAUUAACUGAAUCCAUAGGUUAAUGAGGCGAACCGGGGGAACUGAAACAUCUAAGUACCCCGAGGAAAAGAAAUCAACCGAGAUUCCCCCAGUAGCGGCGAGCGAACGGGGAGGAGCCCAGAGCCUGAAUCAGUGUGUGUGUUAGUGGAAGCGUCUGGAAAGGCGCGCGAUACAGGGUGACAGCCCCGUACACAAAAAUGCACAUAUUGUGAGCUCGAUGAGUAGGGCGGGACACGUGGUAUCCUGUCUGAAUAUGGGGGGACCAUCCUCCAAGGCUAAAUACUCCUGACUGACCGAUAGUGAACCAGUACCGUGAGGGAAAGGCGAAAAGAACCCCGGCGAGGGGAGUGAAAAAGAACCUGAAACCGUGUACGUACAAGCAGUGGGAGCCUCUUAAUGGGGUGACUGCGUACCUUUUGUAUAAUGGGUCAGCGACUUAUAUUCUGUAGCAAGGUUAACCGAAUAGGGGAGCCGAAGGGAAACCGAGUCUUAACUGGGCGUUAAGUUGCAGGGUAUAGACCCGAAACCCGGUGAUCUAGCCAUGGGCAGGUUGAAGGUUGGGUAACACUAACUGGAGGACCGAACCGACUAAUGUUGAAAAAUUAGCGGAUGACUUGUGGCUGGGGGUGAAAGGCCAAUCAAACCGGGAGAUAGCUGGUUCUCCCCGAAAGCUAUUUAGGUAGCGCCUCGUGAAUUCAUCUCCGGGGGUAGAGCACUGUUUCGGCAAGGGGGUCAUCCCGACUUACCAACCCGAUGCAAACUACGAAUACCGAAGAAUGUUAUCACGGGAGACACACGGCGGGUGCUAACGUCCGUCGUGAAGAGGGAAACAACCCAGACCGCCAGCUAAGGUCCCAAAGUCAUGGUUAAGUGGGAAACGAUGUGGGAAGGCCCAGACAGCCAGGAUGUUGGCUUAGAAGCAGCCAUCAUUUAAAGAAAGCGUAAUAGCUCACUGGUCGAGUCGGCCUGCGCGGAAGAUGUAACGGGGCUAAACCAUGCACCGAAGCUGCGGCAGCGACACUAUGUGUUGUUGGGUAGGGGAGCGUUCUGUAAGCCGUUGAAGGUGGCCUGUGAGGGUUGCUGGAGGUAUCAGAAGUGCGAAUGCUGACAUAAGUAACGAUAAUGCGGGUGAAAAACCCGCACGCCGGAAGACCAAGGGUUCCUGUCCAACGUUAAUCGGGGCAGGGUGAGUCGACCCCUAAGGCGAGGCCGAAAGGCGUAGUCGAUGGGAAACAGGUUAAUAUUCCUGUACUUGGUGUUACUGCGAAGGGGGGACGGAGAAGGCUAUGUUGGCCGGGCGACGGUUGUCCCGGUUUAAGCGUGUAGGCUGGUUUUCCAGGCAAAUCCGGAAAACCAAGGCUGAGGCGUGAUGACGAGGCACUACGGUGCUGAAGUGACAAAUGCCCUGCUUCCAGGAAAAGCCUCUAAGCAUCAGGUAACAUCAAAUCGUACCCCAAACCGACACAGGUGGUCAGGUAGAGAAUACCAAGGCGCUUGAGAGAACUCGGGUGAAGGAACUAGGCAAAAUGGUGCCGUAACUUCGGGAGAAGGCACGCUGAUAUGUAGGUGAAGCGACUUGCUCGUGGAGCUGAAAUCAGUCGAAGAUACCAGCUGGCUGCAACUGUUUAUUAAAAACACAGCACUGUGCAAACACGAAAGUGGACGUAUACGGUGUGACGCCUGCCCGGUGCCGGAAGGUUAAUUGAUGGGGUUAGCGGUAACGCGAAGCUCUUGAUCGAAGCCCCGGUAAACGGCGGCCGUAACUAUAACGGUCCUAAGGUAGCGAAAUUCCUUGUCGGGUAAGUUCCGACCUGCACGAAUGGCGUAAUGAUGGCCAGGCUGUCUCCACCCGAGACUCAGUGAAAUUGAACUCGCUGUGAAGAUGCAGUGUACCCGCGGCAAGACGGAAAGACCCCGUGAACCUUUACUAUAGCUUGACACUGAACAUUGAGCCUUGAUGUGUAGGAUAGGUGGGAGGCUUUGAAGUGUGGACGCCAGUCUGCAUGGAGCCGACCUUGAAAUACCACCCUUUAAUGUUUGAUGUUCUAACGU